rnacentral:misc_RNA from 1 species
UCUCGGCUUAUCACCGGCAGUCCCCCUAGAGUGCCCAACUGAAUGAUGGCAACUAAUGAUAAGGGUUGCGCUCGUUGCGGGACUUAACCCAACACCUCACGGCACGAGCUGACGACAGCCAUGCAGCACCUGUGCGGAGACCCUUUCGGGAGAUCCCAUUUCUGGGACUGUCCUCCGCAUGUCAAACCUGGGUAAGGUUCUUCGCGUUGCAUCGAAUUAAACCACAUGCUCCACUGCUUGUGCGGGUCCCCGUCAAUUCUUUUGAGUUUCAGCCUUGCGACUGUACUCCCCAGGCGGUAUACUUAACGCGUUAGCUUCGGCACAACCAGGGUUGAGUCCGGUUACACCAAGUAUACAUAGUUUACGGCAAGGACUAC